CAAAAUGGGAGGUAAAUUUCUCCUAAGGCUAAAUAUCGGCGAGAGACCGAUAGCGAACAAGUACCGUGAGGGAAAGAUGAAAAGAACUUUGAAAAGAGAGUAAAAUAGUACGUGAAAUUGUUGAAAGGGAAACGAUUGAAGUCAGUCGUACCGACGAGAAAUCAGCCUAUCGUGUGUGAACUUGUGGGCGUGCGUGAGUUUCGGCCUCGCUGUUUGCAUGUUUGUUCGCUUUGGGUGUACUUUUUCGUAUGGUUGGCCAACGUCAGUUUCGAUUAUUAUAAAAUGACCGGCGGAAUGUAGCUUCGAUUUCGGUUGAAGUGUUAUAGCCUCUGGUAGAUGUGGUGAUUGGGACUGAGGAUUGCAACGAAUAUCCUUUUGGGCUAUCCGUCUGGCCUCUGAAAGUUGCUCAGGUGCCGAAAGCUUGCUUACGGUCAUCUAAGUUGACGGUCAACAGGUUAGAAUGUGAUUGCAUUCGUUAAGGACGUUGGCGUAAUGGCUUUAAACGACCCGUCUUGAAACACGGACCAAGGAG
rnacentral:rRNA from 1 species